GGAUUUCCCAGUACUGCACGGGGUUGCUGAAGAGACUCACACCGGAAUAGCUUGCCUUUUUGGUGUUGUACCCAAGAGGGCAAAAGUCGUUGAUACCGAUGGAAGCAAUUUUGUUGUUGUGAAGAUAAACCACCUGAAAAGCACAGAAGUGCAGAAGUGAGAAAUAGAGCUGCCAUGGUACAUAAGCACCUUACAGAUGAUCUUCACUGAAAACAUGGGACUUCUCUCCAAGAGGGAAGAAAACCAAAACAAGUGGACAGGAAUUCAGGUGUCAAAUAUUUUCGGUAGCCACACAGAGUAAUUAAAAAUAAAUUCUAGGGCACAAGUGAUCUAAUUCUAAAACCAAGUCAGAUUAAAUGUGAUGUAGAAGCACCUGCUUUGUUGACUGUAGAGAUUAUCUAUGUAACCAGCUCAAGUAUAGACAGCUAUGCUAAAAUUAGAUGACAUGAACCUCUUUAUGAUUUACUCGUGCAGCUCCCUCCACUAUGGACAAACUGGAAUUGUGUCUGCUCCUAUAAACUUUCUAAAACUUUUCUUCCUGAUGUUGCAUUAAAACAAAAAAUUAAGAGGGAAUUUGGAAGUAAUUAAGGAGAUAAAUCUCUAUAGAAUUUUUUUUUCCAAGUAUGAGAGGCUGAAUGCAGAUUCUUGAUGGAAACAGUGCCUGUUUGGGUGAUGGCAUUGCCAUCAUGAACAGAUAAAAAGUAGGAGUUGGCUUCUUAGUUGUGAAUGAAAACUAUAGAAUAGAACUAGACUAGACUAGGCUAGACUAGACUAGGGCUGUGAAGAGCCAGGAAAGCAAAGUAGUUUAUAUUCGUUACAAUCAAAAAGGAUCAAAUGGAAUAAUACACAGAACAAAUUGAGUUGGUGAAAGGCUAGAAAAAUAUUUUCAGAAAUAUGUCUGUGUUGGCAUAUUACUUUCAAA